rnacentral:misc_RNA from 1 species
CUGGACGAGCUUCCUCUGUAGCUCGAAGGUGGAUGAAGCGGAGGCCUCGAGGUCGCCGUCUGAGAGCUGCUUGGCAAUCCAUUGGCCAUCAGAGUGGCGACACACGAAGGUGAAGACUCCCAUGGUGGAUGGCUGCAGCGUCCGUGUUUUGGGGAGUCUUCAGAAAACCUAACAAAGGAAGAAGAUGCCCUUCUUUAUGUACA